rnacentral:rRNA from 1 species
CUUGAACGCUGGCGGCAGGCCUAACACAUGCAAGUCGAGCGGCUCGCCGGACGGGUGAGUAAUGCCUAGGAAUCUGCCUGUUCGUGGGGGAUAACGUCCGCUAACGGGCGCUCUUACUGCUUCCUUUCACAUUCGCCUAGGGCGGAUUUGCUAGUUGGUGGGGUAAAGGCCUACCAAGGCGACGCUCCGUAACUGGUCUGAGAGGAUGAUCAGUCACACUGGAACUGAGACACGGUCCAGAAUCCUACGGGAGGCAGCAGUGGGGAAUAUUGGACAAUGGGCGAAAGCCUGAUCCAGCCAUGCCGCGUGUAUGAAGAAGGUAGUCGGAUUGUAAAGCACUUGAAGUUGGGAGGCGUUACCAGCAGAAUAAGCACCGGCUAACUUCGUGCCAGCAGCCGCGGUAAUUC